UAUCUAUUUGAGCCAUUCUACCGCUGAUGAACAUUCAGGAUGUUUCCUGUUCUGUGCGACUACAGUGUUGCAACCAACAUCCUUGGACCUAUUCGUUUCCCCCCGCACGUGUAUCUUGGAAAGCAACACAUUUCCCAAAGCGCAGUUUUUGAUGGAUCAAAGGGUGUGUGCAUUUUAAAUCAUAGCAGCUGCUGCUUUAAACAAACAAACAACAAACAAACAAAAAAGUGUUCCAUGCUAAAAGAAAAGUAAGGUAGGAAGUAAGAAAAUGGGAGUGUGGCAGGGCUAGGGAAGGGAAGACAGGUUAGUGCCACACUCUUCUCCAGAGACUCUUGGAUAUUAUGACCUGUAAUGUGAUGUCAGUGGUCCAGGUGAGACAGGGCCGGGAGGGAUGGGGUUUAAGGGCAGCGUAUGGCCCUGGCCACUCUGCAGCGUCCCCAGCCAGCAUCCACCAGCACCGGACCUGGUGUGGAGGAGAUUCCCCCAGGGAAGGCAGGGAGAGGAGCCUGAACUUGAGGAGGAGGGGCAGGUGAUGGGAUGGGAAACAGAAAGAUACAGGGGUUCCCAGCUCUUCUCUGUACAUGACUAGAACUGUCCCGCCCCACAUGGUCACCAGACAGCGAGCCCCUUUGAGGCCGACACGAACAUGACCAGACACGUGCAAUAAGGGCUGCUCGUGGUGAAUUCCGAGGACGGCCCGGCAGGUGUUGGACACGCUGGGCCUCACCUCCCAAAACUCCGGGUGCCUCAGCGACACCGUGCAGGUGCCUUCGUGCAGAGAGCCGGACGGGACAUUCCCUCGCCCAGCUCCAGGAGUCCUCAGAAGCGAGGGGUUUCCUGCUGCCUCUCCUCCUGCCCAGGUGGUUUUCUCUGCGUCGCUGGGAGCAAAGUUUGCAGCUCGGUGGACCGGACGAGCUCAUAUAAAGCAAAGUUCUUGGAUAAAAGGCCUCGAAGAGGCGUGGCCACCUGUCACCUCCCCUCCCCCGUCAUCCAGAGCCGGGGCUGCUGUUAGCAAAGAAGUCCCACACGUGGGAAUAGAGGGGCAAGCAGGUCAAUGGAACAGAAUUAGAUACCCUCCCCCCGCCCCCUCCAGACCUGUUUAGCGACAAUUGGCGACAUCUCAGCCUCUGACAGAAAGAUGGAGUUUUUAAGAUGUGGUGUUCAGACAACCAGAUGGGCGUUUGGAGAAACACGAAAUUAUACAUAGGUCUAAAACUGCAGCAGUGAUGGAUUGAAACAUUUUGUGAAUAUUUUGAAAACUCGGGAACUGCAUACGCUGAAAGGGUGAAUGUCGUGGUAUGUGAAUUAUAUCUCAGUAAAAAUACUUUUUAAAAUGGA